rnacentral:lncRNA from 9 species
GUGGGCGGGGGGGGAGGGCUCAGGUCGGGAGCUGAGAAAGGGCUGGCGACCCCGCCUCUGCUCUUUCUCUACUUCAAAAGCAGCGUCCCCCCCGGCCAGCUGUGUCCUGGGGGAGCCAGAAGUUUAGCGAGCAGGACUAUCAGUUCCAGAAUAGAGUAAUCGCACAGUCAUAACCCCUUUCGUCUUUCUCUCAACGUGUCUUUUCAGAACACUGUGCCACUCAGUCUUCUAGUGUCCAGGUGAGUGGUCCGUGUUCUCGGUGUCUCUGGGAGGGAGGGAGUCCAGAAUGCAGGCCUCUCCAACCCCGAAUCUGGAUCUGUCUUCCCUCCCCUCCCCGCCAAGUCUGGACCUCCCACCCCCACGCCCCAAGCCCGAUCUGCACCCCCCCAUUCCAGAUCUGUACCCACCCCAGUCUGGAUCCGCCCCCAGUCUGGCUCUGCCCUCCCCCGCUUCUGAAUCUGGCCUCCCCACCCCGGAUCUGCAUCUCAGAGUCCCGAGGCCCAGGCACCACAGACUCGUCUGCCCAAAGUGCUGUCCCCACCUGAUGAGCUGGAAGCUGCCGUCUCUGUCUCUCGUGUCUCGGAAGGCAGAGGAGGCAGCCCAGAAGAGAACGGUGACAGUGAGAAGCCUGGCUGGUCCCUGUGAGCACGGGUGCAGGCGCAGCCCAAACGGUCCAAGGUUGCUCUGGGGAAGCGCCCCGUCCUCCAGGCGCCGUUGGCUGACCCUGCCCAGCUGGGUCUUGUCCACGUGAGUGAAAUGUCUGUGGGACACUUCACUUAUUGGGUCCUGGCCAGGCCCAUGUGUCACGACACCAGGAUCCUUUAAUUCCCGUGAUGCUUAGGAAGCACAAAUAGUGUCACCGGGACCAGGAGCCUCGGGAUCCUAUGUGUGGUUGCGUGUAGGGCAGCUUGUCUCUGCUCCUCCGAUGUCCUGGCAGUUCCUAGGACCCCCUCCGGCACGUGAGGUGUCCUCCAAACUAGAUUUCUAGAUUCCAGGCUCUUUCUGGGAGCCCGAGGGCACAUCCCACACUGGUCCCCAUUGCUGGAGGCUCAGGCACCGGGCCCCCGCUUGGGAGCUGGUGGGUGCAGCCUGCACACAAGCUGUUUCCUGUGUCUGGGGGUGGGGCAGGGGGAGCUGACAUGCAGCCUGCUGGGCCCACAGAGGACAGGGCUCUGGGCAGAAAGCCCUCCUUAUCCCCAAGGCUCUUGAGUGGAGGCAGGGCCUGGCCUGGCCGCACCUGGAAGUAGCCUCUUCAAGUCCUGUGACACAGUGCUGUGUGGGUGGCUUUUGCCCAGUCAGAUGUCGCUGUAACAGAGCCUGUCUGGUGGGCCACCCCACCUUGGGGCCCUCACCUCCUGGCCUGUGUCAUUCCAAUUUGUUUUUUAUUUAUUAUUAUUAUUUUUUGGUCUUUUGCUUUGUAGGGCUGCACUUGCGGCACAUGGAGGUUCCCAGGCUAGGGGUCUAAUCCGAGCUACAGCUGCUGGCCUACACCACAGCCACAGCAACACCGGAUCCGAGCCGCGUCUGCAACCUACACCACAGCUCACGGCAAUGCUGGAUCCUUAACCCACUGAUCGAGGCCAGGGAUUGAACUCGAAACCUCAUUGUUCCUAAGCAGAUUCGUUUCCGCUGUGCCACUACGGGAACUCCUCAUUCCAAUUUAGACAAUUUGUUUUUUAAAUUUAUUUUAUUGAUGUAUAGUUGAUUUACAAUGGCGUGCUGGUCUCUGCUGUACUGCAAAGUGACUCCCUCACGCACACACUGUUCUUUUUCACACUCUUCCGCUGUGGUUCAUCUCCGGAGACUGACUCGAGCUCCCUGGCUCUACAGCAGGGCCUUGUGGUUUCUCCAUCCUGUAGAGACACUCGUUUGCCUCCACUGACCCCGGGCUCCCCGUCCUUCCCUCCCCUCCCCUUCCCCUCGACAACCACAAGUCUCAUCUCCACGUCUGGGAGUCUGUCUCUCUGUCGUAGAUAAGGUCAUUUGUGUCAUACUUUAGGCCCAGGCACGAUGCUGCAAUGACAUUCAUUCUUUUUUGUGGGGGAGUAAUAUUCCAUUGUGUGUGUGUGUGUGUACCAUAUCUUCUUUAUCCAUUUAUUGUUAAAUUAAAGUAUAGUUGAUUUACAAUAUAUCUUUUGGCAUGAGCACUGCCAUUCUCUACCAACUUUGCAGUUUCAUGUUUGCUCGGGGUCAGUGAACUGCAGCACCUUAGGGCCCUGGUGAGGCCGUUAUGCUCACCCCACCUGCAGGGAGGAGACUCCGAAGAGACUUGACAGGGCAGGGCUGCCAGAUGAAAAUGGGAGAUCAGUUAAACUUGAAUUUCAGAUAAACUGUAGAGUUUUUAGUAACGUGUGACCCCAGGAUUGUAUGGGGCAAAGUUAUGCUAAAGAAUGCUUUGUUUGGAGUUCCCGUCGUGACGCAGUGGUUAACGAAUCCGACUAGGAACCAUGAGGUUGCGGGUUCGGUUCCUGCCCUUGCUCAGUGGGUUAACGAUCCGGUGUUGCCGUGAGCUGUGGUGUAGGUUGCAGACGCGGCUCGGAUCCCGUGUUGCUGUGGCUCUGGAGUAGGCCGGUGGCUACAGCUCCGAUUUGACCCCUAGCCUGGGAACCUCCAUAUGCCGUGGGAGCGGCCCAAGAAAUAGCAAAAAGACAAAAAGACAAAAAAAAAAAAAAUGCUUUGUUUAUCUUAAAUUCAAAUUUAAUUGUAUGUCUUGUAUUUUUAAUUUCUAAAUUUGGCCACUAUUCCGAGGGCCUUCUCUGAAGCUUCAUUUCAGGAGAAAUGGCCCAGAACACAAAGCUGACCCCUAGGGCCGGCCGGGGAGGGGGGUGGGUGUCGGGUGACAGAGGAGAGAUUUGACUGACGGGUGUAGGUCCAGGAAGGCUGAGGGACUGAUUUAUAGUAACACAAGGUGAGAUAUUUUAGGCGUCUGCCACUGACAGGGCUUAACUUGAGCUUCACAUGUUUCUUCUCUCUGAAGUGGCGGGCCUAUUUCUAGGGAGCGACUCUCUUGCACCAUGAGUCUGCCUGUCACUUUCAAGGGGCGCCAGCGGACCACAAGGCCCAGCAGUGACCAGAACUCAUUUCUGGCAAAUAAUUGAAAGGCUCUGAGUGUGCGGCGUCAGCUGUGCCGGGCAACCCGGACCUCAUUCGUGGCCGAGGCCGGCCUCUCCAGGGAGCUGCUUUACUAACCUGGAGCGCACGACUCCCCAGCUCUGGAGGCCUAGCGCUCGCUCCUCUUCCAGGGAUGGACAGCCCCGCUCAGAGUUUUGGGAAACUCCCAUCCUGACCCUGUUCUAUGAAGAGCAGCCUCAGAAGAGAGGCUGAACAGCAGUGGUUAUCAGGAAGGCCACAUUUAUGGAGGGAGGCAUUUAAAUAUGCCAAGUAUCCAACCUCAAAACAAGGAAGGUAGGAUUUCACAGGUAAGAAAACAGGUCAUGUGACCAGACACGGAGCUGAGCCAUGACAACAGCCCUGCAAUCUGGGGUCUAGCAGUUUCUCCUGUUCUGGAGCAUAAGGACAGACAGAAACAGAAAGAGAAACAGAGACAGAGACAGACAGACAGACAGAGACAGAGACAGACAGAGACUGGAGAACCUGGGGGGAGCACUGCCCACGCACAGGUGUGCCCAGCCUAGCUCCUCUGCCAUUCUGGGCCUGGAUCAGCCCCCCUUCAGCUGUAGGGACCCAGCUUCCAGGGACCCUGCAGGCCAAGCUCUGAGCAGGUAAGAGCUUCCUGGGCUGCUCAUCCCCCACCUCUGUGGCUGCUUCCCGGGAGGUUCUCUGCCCCCAGGGUCUGGAGGGACCUUCCCAGCCCCCCUCUGCCCCCUGGCUCACUACCCCAAGGCUUCAGCUUCAUGGGGUGUGUAGGCUCCCCCCGAGCCUUGUCUUUACAGCACAAUCCCUGGAGGUGCUGGGGCUCAAUUUUCAGGAAGCCGCACAGUUCAAACCACUGGGAACUCUUGGAGGGUCUGUCCUGGGUGACUGGCUGGCUCACAGAUACACACCCACGCCUGCCUGGUCCCCAAGUGCUCAGGCCCCACAUGGUCCAUCUACCACUGGAAGGGUGAGAGUCUCCCGGCCCUGGAGUUGCCCCGGGGAUGGUGUGAGGUCAUGAUUCCUUGGUGGGGAG